UACGUAGGUGGCAAGCGUUGUCCGGAAUUACUGGGCGUAAAGCGUGCGCAGGCGGUUUUGUAAGCCAGAUGUGAAAUCCCCGGGCUUAACCUGGGAAUGGCAUUUGGGACUGCAAGGCUGGAGUGUGGCAGAGGAGACUGGAAUUCCUGGUGUAGCAGUGAAAUGCGUAGAUAUCAGGAGGAAUACCGAUGGCGAAGGCAGGUCUCUGGGCUGACACUGACGCUCAUGCACGAAAGCGUGGGGAGCAAACAGG
rnacentral:rRNA from 1 species